CUAAGACCCCAAAUAAACACCUUUGUUGCCUUGCAAAAAAAAAAAAAGGAGCCCAGAGUGACAGUUUUCCCUGACGGUCGCUGUUCUGUUUGCUGUAACUUAUCUGCAACGAUUUCGGGAAAAGACAGUU
rnacentral:snoRNA from 1 species